rnacentral:rRNA from 1 species
GACGAACGCUGGCGGCGUGCCUAAUACAUGCAAGUCGAACGCAGUGGGGAUGGGUGAGUAACACGUGGGUAACCUCCCAUCAGAGGGGAUAACACUUGGAAAUAGGUGCUAAACCGAUAGUGAUGGAUGGUCUUGCGGUGGAUUAGAUAGUUGGUGAGGUAACGGCUCACCAAGGCCAAGAUGCCUAACCGGCCAGAGAGGGUGAUCGGCCACAGUGGGACUGAGACACGGCCCGGACUCUUACGGUAGGCAGCAGUAGUGAAUCUUCGGCAAUGGACGAAAGUCUGACCGAGCAACGCCGCGUGAGGGAAGGAGGUUUUCGGAUCGUAGAACUCUGUUGUUAGAGAAGCGGUAUCUAACCAGAAAGCCACGGCUAACUACGUGCCAGCAGCCGCGGUAAUAC